UACGGGGGGGGCCAGCGUUGUUCGGAAUUACUGGGCGUAAAGGGCUCGUAGGCGGCCAACUAAGUCAGACGUGAAAUCCCUCGGCUUAACCGGGGAACUGCAUCUGAUACUGGAUGGCUUGAGUUCGGGAGAGGGAGGCGGAAUUCCAGGUGUAGCGGUGAAAUGCGUAGAUAUCUGGAGGAACACCGGUGGCGAAGGCGGCAUCCUGGACCGACACUGACGCUGAGGAGCGAAAGCCAGGGGAGCAAACGGG
rnacentral:rRNA from 1 species